AGAGUUUGAUCCUGGCUCAGGACGAACGCUGGCGGCGUGCUUAACACAUGCAAGUCGAACGGAAAGGCCCUGCUUUUGUGGGGUGCUCGAGUGGCGAACGGGUGAGUAACACGUGAGUAACCUGCCCUUGACUUUGGGAUAACUUCAGGAAACUGGGGCUAAUACCGGAUAGGAGCUCCUGCUGCAUGGUGGGGGUUGGAAAGUUUCGGCGGUUGGGGAUGGACUCGCGGCUUAUCAGCUUGUUGGUGGGGUAGUGGCUUACCAAGGCUUUGACGGGUAGCCGGCCUGAGAGGGUGACCGGCCACAUUGRGACUGAGAUACGGCCCAGACUCCUACGGGAGGCAGCAGUGGGGAAYAUUGCACAAUGGGCGGAAGCCUGAUGCAGCAACGCCGCGUGCGGGAUGACGGCCUUCGGGUUGUAAACCGCUUUCGCCUGUGACGAAGCGUGAGUGACGGUAAUGGGUAAAGAAGCACCGGCUAACUACGUGCCAGCAGCCGCGGUGAUACGUAGGGUGCGAGCGUUGUCCGGAUUUAUUGGGYGUAAAGGGCUCGUAGGUGGUUGAUCGCGUCGGAAGUGUAAUCUUGGGGCUUAACCCUGAGCGUGCUUUCGAUACGGGUUGACUUGAGGAAGGUAGGGGAGAAUGGAAUUCCUGGUGGAGCGGUGGAAUGCGCAGAUAUCAGGAGGAACACCAGUGGCGAAGGCGGUUCUCUGGGCCUUUCCUGACGCUGAGGAGCGAAAGCGUGGGGAGCGAACAGGCUUAGAUACCCUGGUAGUCCACGCUGUAAACGGUGGGUACUAGGUGUGGGGUCCAUUCCACGGGUUCCGUGCCGUAGCUAACGCUUUAAGUACCCCGCCUGGGGAGUACGGCCGCAAGGCUAAAACUCAAAGGAAUUGACGGGGCCCCGCACAAGCGGCGGAGCAUGCGGAUUAAUUCGAUGCAACGCGUAGAACCUUACCUGGGUUUGACAUGGAUCGGGAGYGCUCAGAGAUGGGUGUGCCUCUUUUGGGGUCGGUUCACAGGUGGUGCAUGGCUGUCGUCAGCUCGUGUCGUGAGAUGUUGGGUUAAGUCCCGCAACGAGCGCAACCCUUGUUCACUGUUGCCAGCACGUUAUGGUGGGGACUCAGUGGAGACCGCCGGGGUCAACUCGGAGGAAGGUGGGGAUGACGUCAAGUCAUCAUGCCCCUUAUGUCCAGGGCUUCACGCAUGCUACAAUGGCUGGUACAGAGAGUGGCGAGCCUGURAGGGUGAGCGAAUCUCGGAAAGCCGGUCUCAGUUCGGAUUGGGGUCUGCAACUCGACCUCAUGAAGUCGGAGUCGCUAGUAAUCGCAGAUCAGCAACGCUGCGGUGAAUACGUUCCCGGGGCUUGUACACACCGCCCGUCAAGUCAUGAAAGUUGGUAACACCCGAAGCCGGUGGCCUAACCGUUGUGGGGGAGCCGUCGAAGGUGGGACUGGUGAUUAGGACUAAGUCGUAACAAGGUAACC
rnacentral:rRNA from 1 species